rnacentral:rRNA from 1 species
GAUGAACGCUGGCGGCGUGCCUAAUACAUGCAAGUCGAGCGAACGGACGAGAAGCUUGCUUCUCUGAUGUUAGCGGCGGACGGGUGAGUAACACGUGGAUAACCUACCUAUAAGACUGGGAUAACUUCGGGAAACCGGAGCUAAUACCGGAUAAUAUUUUGAACCGCAUGGUUCAAAAGUGAAAGACGGUCUUGCUGUCACUUAUAGAUGGAUCCGCGCCGCAUUAGCUAGUUGGUAAGGUAACGGCUUACCAAGGCAACGAUGCAUAGCCGACCUGAGAGGGUGAUCGGCCACACUGGAACUGAGACACGGUCCAGACUCCUACGGGAGGCAGCAGUAGGGAAUCUUCCGCAAUGGGCGAAAGCCUGACGGAGCAACGCCGCGUGAGUGAUGAAGGUCUUCGGAUCGUAAAACUCUGUUAUUAGGGAAGAACAUAUGUGUAAGUAACUGUGCACAUCUUGACGGUACCUAAUCAGAAGGCCACGGCUAACUACGUG